rnacentral:rRNA from 1 species
GUUUUUUGAAUAUAAUAAAAAAUUUAACCUGCUCAAUGAAUAAAUUUAAAUAGCUGCAGUAUUUUGACUGUACUAAGGUAGCAUAAUCAAUUGUUUUUUAAUUAAAAGCUGGAAUGAAUGGUUUAAUGAAAUAAAAUCUUUUUUAAAUUUAAAAUUUAAAAUUUUUUUAUUAGUAAAAAAGCUAAUAUAUUAUUAAAAGACGAGAAGACCCUAUAGAGUUUUAUAUAUAUAUUUAAUAAUUAAUUUAAUAUAAUAAAUUUUUAAAUAUUUAAUAUUUAGUUGGGGUGAUUAUUAAAAAUUAAAAAACUUUAAUUAAUUUUAAACAAAAAUGAUUGAAAUUAUUGAUCUUUAAUUUUUAAUUAAAAGAAUAAAUUACCUUAGGGAUAACAGUGUAAUUUUUUUUGAUAGUUCUUAUUGAUGAAAAAGUUUGC